GSCUCCYCUGAKUUUGAUCAUGGCUCAGGACGGAWCGCYGGCGGCGUGCCUAAUACAUGCAAGUCGAGCGRACAGAUGGGGAGCUUUGCUCCCUGAUGKUAGCGGCGGACGGGUGAGUACACGUGGGUAACCUGCCUGUAAGACUGGGAUAACUCCGGRAAACCGGGGCUAAUACCGGAUGGUUGUUUGACCGCAUGGUUCAAACAUAAAAAGGUGGCUUCGGCUACCACUUACAGAUGGACCCGCGGCGCAUUAGCUAGUUGGUGAGGUAACGGCUCACCAAGGCAACGAUGCGUAKCCGACCUGAGAGGGUGAUCGGCCACACUGGGACUGAGACACGGCCCAGACUCCUACGGGAGGCAGCAGUAGGGAAUCUUCCGCAAUGGACGAAAGUCUGACGGAGCAACGCCGCGUGAGUGAUGAAGGUUUUCGGAUCGUAAAGCUCUGUUGUUAGGGAAGAACAAGUACCGUUCGAAUAGGGCGGUACCUUGACGGUACCUAACCAGAAAGCCACGGCUAACUACGUGCCAGCARCCGCGGUAAUACGUAGGUGGCAAGCGUUGUCCGGAAUUAUUGGGCGUAAAGGGCUCGCAGGCGGUUUCUUAAGUCUGAUGUGAAAGCCCCCGGCUCAACCGGGGAGGGUCAUUGGAAACUGGGGAACUUGAGUGCAGAAGAGGAGAGUGGAAUUCCACGUGUAGCGGUGAAAUGCGUAGAGAUGUGGAGGAACACCAGUGGCGAAGGCGACUCUCUGGUCUGUAACUGACGCUGAGGAGCGAAAGCGUGGGGAGCGAACAGGAUUAGAUACCCUGGUAGUCCACGCCGUAAMCWKYUUGAGUGCUAAGUGUUAGGGGGUUUCCGCCCCUUAGUGCUGCAGCUAACGCAUUAAGCAYUCCSGCCU
rnacentral:rRNA from 1 species